UACGUAGGGUGCGAGCGUUAAUCGGAAUUACUGGGCGUAAAGUGUGCGCAGGCGGUCGUCCAAGUCGCGUGUGAAAGCCCCCCGGCUCAACUGGGGAGGGUCACGCGAUACUGGUCGACUCGAAGGCAGGAGAGGGUAGUGGAAUUCCCAGUGUAGCGGUGAAAUGCGUAGAUAUUGGGAAGAACACCUGAGGCGAAGGCGGGUUGCUGGGCUGAUACUGACGCUGAGGAGCGAAAGCGUGGGGAGCGAACAGG
rnacentral:rRNA from 1 species